rnacentral:tRNA from 1 species
UGUAAUUUGUUGUAUGAUGCAUAUAAAAUUUUGAUUUUUAAGGUUUAAGUUUAAUUCUUAAAGUUACAU